AGCUCUGUGGUGAAGUUCAUAUCGGGUUGCAAUUCCGAAGACGCGGGUUAAUCGCCCGCCGGGGCUU
rnacentral:tRNA from 1 species